rnacentral:rRNA from 1 species
UGGGGAAUAUUGCACAAUGGGCGCAAGCCUGAUGCAGCCAUGCCGCGUGUAUGAAGAAGGCCUUCGGGUUGUAAAGUACUUUCAGCGGGGAGGAAGGGAGUAAAGUUAAUACCUUUGCUCAUUGACGUUACCCGCAGAAGAAGCACCGGCUAACUCCGUGCCAGCAGCCGCGGUAAUACGGAGGGUGCAAGCGUUAAUCGGAAUUACUGGGCGUAAAGCACACGCAGGAGGUUUGUUAAGUCAGAUGUGAAAUCCCCGGGCUCAACCUGGGAACUGCAUCUGAUACUGGGAAGCUUGAGUCUCGAAGAGGGGGGUAGAAUUCCAGGUGUAGCGGUGAAAUGCGUAGAGAUCUGGAGGAAUACCGGUGGCGAAGGCGGACCCCUGGACGAAGACUGACGAUCAGGUGCGAAAGCGUGGGGAGCAAACAGG